ACUGCUGAAAAAAACUCAUAAAAAGUGAGACUGGAAUUUGCAAAAAUGCAUGUUGACAAGCCACAAAGCUUCUGGGAGAAUGUCCUUUGGACAGAUGAGACCAAACUGGAGCUUUUUGGUAAGGCACAUCAACUCUAUGUUCAUAGACUCAAAAACCAAGCAUACGAAGAAAAGAACACUGUCCCUACGGUGAAACAUGGAGGAGGCUCAGUAAUGUUUUGGGGCUGCUUUGCUGCAUCUGGCACAGGGUGUCUUGAAAGUGUGCAAGGUACGAUGAAGUCUGAAGACUAUCAAGGCAUUCUGGAGAGAAAUGUGCUGCCUAGUGUCAGAAAGCUUGGUCUCAGUCGCAGGUCAUGGGUCUUCCAACAGGACAACGAUCCAAAACACACAGCCAAAAACACCCAAGAAUGGCUGAGAGAAAAGCGUUGGACUAUUCUAAAGUGGCCUUCUAUGAGCCCAGAUCUGAAUCCCAUUGAACAUAUGUGGAAGGAGCUGAAACAUGCCAUUUGGAGAAGACACCCAUCAAACCUGAGACAACUGGAGCUGUUUGCUCAUGAGGAGUGGGCCAAAAUACCUGUUGACAGCUGCAGAACGCUCAUUGACAAAUACAGAAAUCGUUUAAUUGCAGUGAUUGCCUCAAAAGGUUGUGCAACAAAAUAUUAAGUUAUGGGUACCAUCAUUUUUGUCCAGCCCUAUUUCAUUAGUUUGUUUUUUUAAAUAAUUAUGUUAAUCAACAAUUCAAAAGUGAUGGCUGAUUUUGAUUAUUUAAUUUUCAAUAAAUUUUUAUUUAUUGUUACCUUUGUGAGUUUCAAGUGAUUUCAGUGAGAAUUGUGGGUUUUUCCUUCUUUAACUGAGGGGUACCAACAAUUUUGUCCACGUGUGUAAAUGAGAACAAGACUGACUACAUUAUUUUUGGGGACAAUGUUCUUGUAUUUCCAGACUCUGUGUUUUCGAAGUUAAAAACAUCUGUAAAGAACCUCGGUGUCAUUUUUGACAACAGUUUUACUUUCACAAAACAGAUUGGCAAUGUAGUCAGAGCCAGUUUUUAUCAGUUACAUCUUUUAUCUAAAGUAAAGCCUUUUUUAGGUUGCACCGACCUGGAAAGGACAAUUCAUGCUUUCAUCAGCUCACGCAUAGAUUAUUGCAAUGCCCUUUAUGUCGGUGUUUCCCAGUCUGCCCUGAGCCGCCUCCAGUUGAUGCAAAAUGCGGCAGCUCAUUUCCUCACGAACACUCAAAAGGCGUCAACACAUCACCCCACUCCUCUUCUACCUCUACUGGCUUCCAGUUUAUUUUAGGAUUGAUUUUAAAAUUUUACUUUUUGUUUUUAAAACCCUGAAUGGUCUGGCGCCUAUUUACUUAACGGAGCUUCUCUCUGUUCGAAACCCAAACAGGGAGUUAAGAUCCUCUAACCAGCUGUUUCUGGAAGUCCCAAGGGCCAGGUAUAAACACUGGGGGGAUUGAGCCUUUUCAGUUGCUGGGCCAAGACUCUGAAACAAACUGCCCCCUGACAUUCGCACCAUCACUGACUUUGGCUUGUUUAAAUCGCAGCUGAAAACAUAUCUUUUCAGACUGGCUUUUAAUACAGAGUAAUGUGGUGACAUUUUAUUUUAUUUUAUCUUACACUGUCUUUUUUUAUCUGGUUAUAUCUGAUUUUAUUUUCCUGAUACGCUCUGUUGUUGCUUUCUUUUAAUCUGCUUUUAUUUUUUAUUUUAGUGUUUGUUUUUAGCUGGAAAGCACUUUGGUCACCAUGAGUGUUAUAAAGUGCUCUAUAAAUACAUUUUUGAUUUGAUUGAUUGAUUUGAUCGAAAAUAUCUUACUAGAGACCAGCUCUGGCAUCCCACGUCUCCACCUGAUUGACUUUGCUCUAAGCUGUGUUGUGAAGAAGAGAUCCUGCUACCACUUCUUCUAUGGAACGCCUCAACAUAUCCCACCGGAGUGGUACAGCACACACACCUACACGGCUGGUCCCACCACGGUGUGGCAGAUCGGAGCAGUGCUCUUCGACAUGCUUCACAGACUCACCCAAUUCGAGACCACAAGGUUCCUCGACAACGAGCAGAUGAUCAGCAGGAGCUUGUCCGAAGAUUGCAAGGACUUCCUGCAAAAAUGCCUCACUGAGAACCCCGAGCAGCGGCCGACGCUGAAGGAGUUCAGGUGUCACCCGUGGCUCUGAUAAAAUUACCAAACACCCAAAAACCUACAGAUAAACCACCAAACACCCACAAACCUACACCUGCCACACAGCUAAAGCCUUGAUUAUAGCCGAUUGUAUUUAUGUAUUCUGUACAAUAUUGUUGUUGCAACGUUUUUUGCCAGGUGGACACAACUUUAAUUUUUAAAUCUAUAUUGUAUUUUUAUCUCUUCAUUGAUUUAAAAAAAAAUACUAAAAAGUACAAUACACUUAAAGCAGAAGUCUGACCAGUUAAGAAGUUAAUAUGUGUGAUAACUCAAUUUAUCCUCCAUAUCACCAUGAAAAUUGUAUUAGUUUAGAUUAUUUACUCUUUAAUUUGUAAUAAAUUAGAACUUUUUCAAAAAGUCUGCCAUGAAGUGCAUGAAUGCGUUUUCACAAAAGUAAAAAAAAAAAAAACACCUCAUGCUAGCAUACAAACUUUUCUAAAAUGUUUAGAGAUUAAUUUUCCAAGUUCUAAUCAUUUCUCCUUGUGCUCAUGUCUCUCCAGCUCCACGCUAAUAUAUAUAUAUAUAUAUAUAUAUAUACACACACACAUAUGCACCACCUGACAAUUACAGUUGUUAAUGAGGAGCUAUCAGAGCUGCAUCAUUACAUCAUUUAUUUAUGUUCCCACUGAAUUGUGGUUGGGUCUCAUUUAUUCAUUGAACCUUUUUUCUUUUUUUCCUGAGGUAAGUGUUGCUUAACGCCAACUCUCCGACAGCUCACCCACAUAUUCCAUUUCACACUUGAACAUGUCACACUGCUACAGUGAAAGACGCUGCAGCUUCUGUUUCACCAUAACUUUAUGAAAGUGUUGGCUCGAAAUGAGACACUGAAUACCAAACUUCUAAAAACAGAUGAGCUCAGUGUGCAACAUGUCUGGAAAUGUGUAAUGUUGAUUCAUUAUAAACUACAUCCACAUUUUAAUAGAUCAAACUCUAUGAUAUGGAUAAAGCAUAUGUGGUUGAUUAAAGUCCAUUAACCCUCUGAACUAUGGUAUUUAUGGAUUUUUCACUGCAACAUAAAGUCCUGUGACUCUGUGGAAACAGCACAACCAUGGAUACAAGUGUGGAGAACUUAAAAAUGUCUUUUGAGCAAUUUACAAACUUACAUUGCUGUAAAUGUAGUUGAGUUAUUGGGUAUAUUUAUUAUUUAUAACAGAGUAACUAAUGACUUUUUGGUUACAACAAAAGGCACAGAUUUUUUAUUUUUAUUUUAUUUUUAGUUAACUUUUGUAAUUUUUUUUCAGAAUCAGCUCAGAGAAAUCAAUUUAUAUUUGGACAUUUAAAAAAAAAUUAGACAUGAAGAACAAAGUGACUGAUGAAAUAUCCCAAUUUGAAGCCUUAGAAAUUUACAUAAUUUGUUAUUUUUAUUUUACUAUUAACCUUUGUGUGAUAGUGUAUAUUCCAUCAACCUUUGUUUAUUGUAUUGUUUAUUGUACUCUGGCGAAAUCGUUUCCUCCGGGAUGAAUAAAGUAGAUCUUAUCUUAUAUUAAAUUUGGUUAGUUUUCUGAUUUUUGGACAGUUGAAAUUCUGAUUUCACAGUUUUUCGCUGAUAAAUAUGUUAUUUUCAACAAUUUGUUGAAAGAUCACAUGCCUUUCAUACAUAUAUCAACACAGCCUGAAGUUCAACCGGACAGUCCUUGAUCAUUUGUCAUCUAGCUGUUGGUCAUA